rnacentral:piRNA from 1 species
AACCAGUGCUGAAGAAUAAUGAGUGA